UUUUGAAACUUCAAAUAAAAUAAUACCUAAAAUCAUUACAGCAUUGAAAAUUUAUUAUUUCUCCAUUCAUCUACCAUCAUAGCUUUGUUUUAUUUUAUCUAUCACAAUAAUAAAUAAACAAAUCCACCAAAUACAAACAUAGUUGAUGAAAAGAAAAAAACAAAGCAACUAAGAAAUUGGCACUUGUAGAAACUAAAACGCACUUCGACAACUUCAAACACCAAACCAAACACUUCGCAACACUACAAUGUCUUUUCCUUCACUUCCUCCUUAAAAAACCACGCGCGAUUACGUAUAUACCCACGCGCCACCGUUUCUAAGUUUGGUUUAAUAUGGGUUGCGCGGCGUCGAAGCUAGAAAACGAAGACACUGUACGGCGGUGUAAAGACCGUCGCCGUCUCAUGAAAGAAGCCGUUUACGCGCGUCACCAUCUCGCAGCUGCACACUCUGACUACUGUCGUUCACUUCGCCUCACCGGCUCUGCUCUCUCUACAUUCGCCGCCGGUGAGCCUCUCUCUGUCUCCGACAACACCCCCGCCGUAUUCAUCAACCGGCUCUGCUCUCUCUACAUUCGCCGCCGGUGAGCCUCUCUCUGUCUCCGACAACACCCCCGCCGUAUUCAUCAACCAUAAAACAACCACCCCCAUCCCCACCACCGCCACGAAAACGUUCCAACAUCCACCAAAACCACAACCACCGUCGUCACACAUUCCAUCUCCUUCACCGUCUUCCUUCCACCGUCCACCGCCGGGGCAACCGUUUCAACCUUCACCUUCUCCCACCAUAACCUCCUCAAAACUCCCUCAUAUCCUCUCUUCAUCCACUCCCUCCACAAAUCAACACCACAACGCUCGCCGCCGUAAACCACCGCCGCCGAAACUCCCUCACAUUCUCUCCGAUUCAAGCCCUUCUUCUACCCCUCGAAGCAACUUCUCCAACAAUUUCGCUCCCGGUUUCUUCCCUACAGCACACUCUACAUACUCUUCCACCCCUUCUCAAACUUCCUCCGUUUGGAAUUGGGAAAAUUUCUAUCCUCCUCCUCCACCGCCACCGGGCUCCGAUUACUUCGACAGAGAGCAUGAACAUGAACAUGACCAAGAAGAUACUACUUCUCAAUUCUCUUUCAUUUCACGAAAUAGUGAAAUUCCUUAUUCCCGACAACAACAGCAACAACAACAACAAAAACAACAACCUCAACAACCACAAAUACAAACAUAUCAACCACAACAGCAACAACAGCAACAUCGAUAUCCUAAUCCAACAGCACAUGAAGUGGAAGGCUUUGAUUC
rnacentral:lncRNA from 1 species